UACAGAGACUGCAAGCGUUAUUCGGAUUCACUGGGCGUAAAGGGUGCGCAGGCGGCCAAGUGUGUUAGAUGUGAAAGCCCGGGGCUUAACCCCGGAAUUGCACCUAAAACUACAUGGCUAGAGCAUUGGAGAGGGUAGCAGAAUUCACGGUGUAGCAGUGAAAUGCGUAGAUAUCGUGAGGAAUACCAGAGGCGAAGGCGGCUACCUGGACAAUUGCUGACGCUCAGGCACGAAAGCGUGGGGAGCAAAAGGG
rnacentral:rRNA from 1 species